CCGGCACGGUGAGUAACACGUAUGCAAUCCACCUGUAACAGGGGGAUAACCCGGAGAAAUCCGGACUAAUACCCCAUAAUAUGGGCGCUCCGCAUGGAGAGCCCAUUAAAGAGAGCAAUUUUGGUUACAGACGAGCAUGCGCUCCAUUAGCCAGUUGGCGGGGUAACGGCCCACCAAAGCGACGAUGGAUAGGGGUUCUGAGAGGAGGGUCCCCCACAUUGGAACUGAGACACGGUCCAA
rnacentral:rRNA from 1 species